AGCCGUACGGUGCGGUGCAGGGACAAGCAGAGGAACCACUACCCAGACUGCCAGCUGAGGAGCUCCAGGAAGUUCCUACCACCGCUGAGGUACCUCCACAAGCAUCACUAUUCUUGGAAUCACAAUGCCAAGUGGGAGCAAAUGUUACUCUUAGCGCCUCUGGUCAAGGCACUGAGGACACAGUAGCACUGCCUCUUGCAGAGGACGUCAAAAGCACCAACAGCGUGUCGAGUGAGGGACCUUGUGAGAGGGCACUUGAUCCAGACCACGCAUAUGCCAAGCCAGCCCGGCGAAGUGACCACCA